UGUACUUCAGUUGAUGGGGGGCGGGUAAAACGGAGAGGGCGGGCGUAUAUAGGCAGUACUGGGGGUGAAGCGUGCGCGGGGGGGAUUUGAAGGUAGGUCGGAAAUGCCGGCGCGUAGACAGGGAGCUGCGCUUGGGACUGAGAGACUCGUGUACGGCAGAGGGGGGUGGGAUUCCACGGGGAGCAGGGAAAGGCGGAGAGAUGUGGAGGAACAACGAUGGCGAGGGCAGCACACUGGGUGGAUACUGACGCUCAUGCACGAAAGCGUGGGGAGCAAACAGGAUUAGAUACCCCGGUAGUC
rnacentral:rRNA from 1 species